rnacentral:lncRNA from 1 species
AGCAGGGCCUGGAGCAAUCAAGGCUCUCAUGGCUUGCUGCAUGUUGGUUCUCAAAGAAAAAAGAUUCUAAAAUGGAAAUUGAAAAUCCGUUGUUUUUCAGGGAGUGAUCUUGGUGCCAAUGUGGGAUGGAAAAGGAGCAAGAUUGAAGAGAUGGAGAAUUCCAGUAAAGUCUUCAGCUGGUCCUAAAGAUUUGAACCACGUGCACUGUGAAACAUAUAAGCAAAAGUCGCUAAGCCAGUGGAGUAAACUCCCCUGAGGAUGGGGAGAAGGGGGGGAUGGGCUAAGCUGGUGUCAGACUGUCACUCCCACCAAGAAUACCACACAAGCGGGUUAGAACAGAAAAUUAUUUGUAUUUAUAUAAUGG